GAAAAGUUAUAAGGGCAGAUGGCGGAUGCCUAGGCUCUUGGAGGCGAAGAAGGACGUGAUAAGCUGCGAUAAGCUGCGGGGAUUGGCACAUACGAAUUGAUCCGCAGAUUUCCGAAUGGGGCAACCCACUAGACAGGAGGUCUAGUAUCUCGCAAGAGAGGUCAACGGGGGGAACUGAAACAUCUCAGUACCCUCAGGAAAAGAAAACAAAAGUGAUUCCCUUAGUAGUGGCGAGCGAACGGGGAGUAGCCCAAACCGCAGAUGUUUCGGCAUCUACGGGGUUGUAGGAGUAACACCAAUGUACUAUACACAUGUAGAAGAACGACAUGGAAAUGUCGACCAUAGAGGGUGAUAGUCCCGUAUUUGAAACAUGUUUGUAGACAGAGCUACCACCUGAGUAGCGCGGGACACGAGAAAUCCUGUGUGAAUCUGCGGGGCCCAUCCCGUAAGGCUAAAUACUUCCAAGAGACCGAUAGUGAACAAGUACCGUGAGGGAAAGGUGAAAAGAACCUCGAUAAGAGGAGUGCAAUAGACCCUGAAACCAUCUGCUUACAAGCGGUAGGAGCCCCCCUGUGGGGUGACUGCGUGCCUUUUGCAUAAUGAACCUACGAGUUACCGUUGCCGGCAAGGUUAAGUACAGGUAAGUACGGAACCGGAGCGAAAGCGAGUCUGAAUAGGGCGAUGAGUCGGUAGAGGUAGACGCGAAACCAAGUGAUCUACCCUUGGUCAGGUUGAAGGAUAGGUAACACUAUCUGGAGGACCCAACCGGUAAGCGUUGAAAAGCUUUCGGAUGAACUGAGGGUAGGGGUGAAAGGCUAAUCAAACUUGGAGAUAGCUCGUACUCCCCGAAAUGCAUUUAGGUGCAGCCUUUGGUGUUUCUUGUAUGAGGUAGAGCGACUGAUUGGAUGCGAGGCUUUCACCGGCUAUCAAGUCCAGACAAACUCCGAAUGCGUACAAGUCAAAGCCAAGGAGUGAGGGCAUGGGUGCUAAGGUCCAUGUCCUAAAGGAGAACAAUCCGGACCAUCGGCUAAGGUCCCGAAAUCACUACUAAGUUGGACAAACGAAGUCAAGAUGCGAAGACAGCUAGGAUGUUGGCUUGGAAGCAGCCAUUCAUUUAAAGAGUGCGUAACAGCUCACUAGUCGAGGAUUUUGGCGUGGAUAAUAAUCGGGCAUAAGUAGUGUACCGAAGCUGUGGGAUGUGAAUACAUCGGUAGGGGAGCAUUCCUAUUGAGUAGAAGAUACAGGGGCGACCUGUGUUGGAUCGAUAGGAAAAGCAAAUGUAGGUAUAAGUAACGAUAAAGGGGGCGAGAAACCCCCUCGCCGAAAGACUAAGGUUUCCUGAUCAACGCUAAUCGGAUCAGGGUUAGUCGGGGCCUAAGGAUAAGCCUAAUGGCGAUUCCGAUGGAAGAACUGGUUAAUAUUCCAGUACUAAUAUAUUGAGUGAUGUGGAGACGGAGAAGUGACACUACUGCCGACUGACGGAAUAGUUGGUUAAAGGGUGUAGAUAGUUGGUUUGUAGGCAAAUCCGCAGACCGAGUCGAACCUGAGAGUACACUGCGUGCAUGCACAAAGUGAUAAUGUAGGUAAGCCAGCUCCCAAGAAAACCCGCUAAACAAUUGAUAUAUUACCCGUACCACAAACCGACACAGGUGGUUGGGUUGAGUAUACUAAGGCGCUCGAGAGAUUCGCGGUUAAGGAACUAGGCAAAAUGGUCCUGUAACUUCGGGAGAAAGGACGCCAGUGGCGACACUGGCCGCAGAGCAUAGGCCCAUGCGACUGUUUAACAAAAACAUAUGGCUGUGCAAAAUAGAAAUAUCACGUAUACAGCCUGACACCUGCCCGGUGCUGGAAGGUUAAGAGGAGAUGUCAUCGCAAGAGAAGCAUUGAAUUGAAGCCCCAGUAAACGGCGGCCGUAACUAUAACGGUCCUAAGGUAGCGAAAUUCCUUGUC
rnacentral:rRNA from 1 species